rnacentral:rRNA from 1 species
UACGUAGGUGGCAAGCGUUGUCCGGAAUCACUGGGCGUAAAGCGACCGCAGGCGGCCUGACAAGUCGGAUGUGAAAGCCCUGGGCUCAACUCAGGAAUUGCAUUCGAAACUGGCAGGCUUGAGUACGGGAGAGGGGGGUAGAAUUCCUGGUGUAGGGGUGAAAUUCGUUGAUAUCAGGAGGAACACCGGCGGCGAAGGCGGCCCCCUGGCCCGCAACUGACGCUCAUGGUCGAAAGCGUGGGGAGCAAACAGG